rnacentral:tRNA from 1 species
GCUAGUGUAGCUUAAGCAAAGCGUGACAUUGAAGAUGUUAAAAUGGGCCCUUGAAAGCCCCGCCGGCA